GAGUACGGGCCCCACAUUGGGACUGAGACACGGCCCAAACUCCUACGGGAGGCAGCAG
rnacentral:rRNA from 1 species